ACUUCUGUGGUGCAUAGUGGUAGCGCCUUGACUUAGUAAUUUUAAGUCCUAGGUUCGAGUCCCAGUUGGAGUA